rnacentral:rRNA from 1 species
UCUGGCACAUGCUAAGCAGCGUUGGGUCUGGUUAGUACUUGGAUGGGAGACAACUGGGAAUCCCGGGUGCCAUAU